AGUGAACGCUGGCGGUAGGCCUAACACAUGCAAGUCGAACGGCAGCACAGUAAGAGCUUGCUCUUACGGGUGGCGAGUGGCGGACGGGUGAGGAAUACAUCGGAAUCUACUUUUUCGUGGGGGAUAACGUAGGGAAACUUACGCUAAUACCGCAUACGACCUACGGGUGAAAGCAGGGGAUCUUCGGACCUUGCGCGACUGAAUGAGCCGAUGUCGGAUUAGCUAGUUGGCGGGGUGAAGGCCCACCAAGGCGACGGUCCGUAGCUGGUCUGAGAGGAUGGGCAGCGAGACUGGAAGUGAGACACGGGCCAGGCUCGUACGGGAGGCAGCAGUGGGGAAUGUUGGACAAUGGGCGCAAGCCUGAUCCAGCCAUACCGCGUGGGUGAAGAAGGCCUUCGGGUUGUAAAGCCCUUUUGUUGGGAAAGAAAAGCAGCAGGUUAAUACCCCGCUGUUCUGACGGUACCCAAAGAAUAAGCACCGGCUAACUUCGUG
rnacentral:rRNA from 1 species